UCCCUUUCGGUGUGCUUUGCCCUUGAUUUCCAGCUGGCAGAGCACCCUUCUGUGCAGGGGUAAAUUGGCCUUGCUGAUCCAGUUUCCAGUGUUUGCCUGAUUCCUGCGACAUUGCUGAGAGCAUUUCUACCACUAACAAGUGAAAGAGAAACAAAACAACUGAACCAUAAUCACCUCAGAAAAAAAGUCACAUGAUUUCAGGGAAACCACUGGAUACACACCGGGAAGAGCGGAAAGCAAAGUCCCAAGUCUGUUUCUGGGUCAGACCAGCCAGAGCAGGAGGCGAGAGGUUGGUCUCUUUCUCAAGGUGUGAGCUCUGAUUCCUUGAGAAGAUGGCGGAAGGAAAACAUCACUCAUUGGUCCUCUGUAUGGGACUAGGUGGUCUGAAAAUGUGGGCAUCGGGGUCCUGUGCGCUUGUGCUAUCCGUGGGCGCAGCAGUAAUACUCCUAGGAAUCGGCGUCACCUACUUGACUAAGGCCAGCGAAAAGAAGACCCAGAAAAUGUAUUAUUGACAGGAAUCCUUUCCAAUCACCUGGCCAGAAGGAGAAGGCUCCACCUUCUUGGGGAAUGUGUGAAGCAACAUGCUACACACAGCUUAUAUUUUGAGUAUGAACAAAGUCAACUUUUGAGCAAAAUAAAAAUUAAUUAAAUACA